GUCUUUUAAUUGAAGUCUGGUAUGAAUGGUUUGAUGAAAAAUUUACUUUCUUUGGCUUAUAUAAUUAAUUUAAUGUUCUAGUGAAAAAGCUAGAAUUUUAUUAAAGGACGAGAAGACCCUAUAAAACUUUAUUUUUAAGGAUUUUUGAUUUAUAUUGAUUAUAUUGGAUUAAAUUUUUCUAGGAAAUUUGGUUGGGGUGACAGAAAAAAUUUUAUAACUUUUUUUGUAUUUAUCACUUUUAGGUGUGAAAUUUUGAUCCUUUAUUAGGGAAAAAAGAUUAAGUUACUUUAGGGAUAACAGCGUUAUUAUUUUAGAGAGUUCAUAUUGAUAAAAUAGUUUGCGACCUCGAUGUUGGAUUAAAAAUAGUGAUAGGGGCAUAAUAUUAUUAACUAGGUCUGUCUCGACCUUUAAAUUUUUACA
rnacentral:rRNA from 1 species